GCCCCGUUGGCUCAGUGGUAAAGCGUGUCACUAGUAACGUCAAGUCAUGACAAGAUCACUGGUUCGAUUCCAGUACGGGGCA
rnacentral:tRNA from 1 species